GAUGAACGCUGGCGGCGUGCCUAAUACAUGCAAGUCGAGCGAACGGACGAGAAGCUUGCUUUUCUGAUGUUAGCGGCGGACGGGUGAGUAACACGUGGAUAACCUACCUAUAAGACUGGGAUAACUUCGGGAAACCGGAGCUAAUACCGGAUAAUAUUUUGAACCGCAUGGUUCAAAAGUGAAAGACGGUCUUGCUGUCACUUAUAGAUGGAUCCGCGCUGCAUUAGCUAGUUGGUAAGGUAACGGCUUACCAAGGCAACGAUGCAUAGCCGACCUGAGAGGGUGAUCGGCCACACUGGAACUGAGACACGGUCCAGACUCCUACGGGAGGCAGCAGUAGGGAAUCUUCCGCAAUGGGCGAAAGCCUGACGGAGCAACGCCGCGUGAGUGAUGAAGGUCUUCGGAUCGUAAAACUCUGUUAUUAGGGAAGAACAUAUGUGUAAGUAACUGUGCACAUCUUGACGGUACCUAAUCAGAAAGCCACGGCUAACUACGUGCCAGCAGCCGCGGUAAUACGUAGGUGGCAAGCGUUAUCCGGAAUUAUUGGGCGUAAAGCGCGCGUAGGCGGUUUUUUAAGUCUGAUGUGAAAGCCCACGGCUCAACCGUGGAGGGUCAUUGGAAACUGGAAAACUUGAGUGCAGAAGAGGAAAGUGGAAUUCCAUGUGUAGCGGUGAAAUGCGCAGAGAUGUGGAGGAACACCAGUGGCGAAGGCGACUUUCUGGUCUGUAACUGACGCUGAUGUGCGAAAGCGUGGGGAUCAAACAGGAUUAGAUACCCUGGUAGUCCACGCCGUAAACGAUGAGUGCUAAGUGUUAGGGGGUUUCCGCCCCUUAGUGCUGCAGCUAACGCAUUAAGCACUCCGCCUGGGGAGUACGGCCGCAAGGUUGAAACUCAAAGGAAUUGACGGGGGCCCGCACAAGCGGUGGAGCAUGUGGUUUAAUUCGAAGCAACGCGAAGAACCUUACCAAAUCUUGACAUCCUUUGACAACUCUAGAGAUAGAGCCUUCCCCUUCGGGGGACAAAGUGACAGGUGGUGCAUGGUUGUCGUCAGCUCGUGUCGUGAGAUGUUGGGUUAAGUCCCGCAACGAGCGCAACCCUUAAGCUUAGUUGCCAUCAUUAAGUUGGGCACUCUAAGUUGACUGCCGGUGACAAACCGGAGGAAGGUGGGGAUGACGUCAAAUCAUCAUGCCCCUUACGAUUUGGGCUACACACGUGCUACAAUGGACAAUACAAAGGGCAGCGAAGCCGCGAGGUCAAGCAAAUCCCAUAAAGUUGUUCUCAGUUCGGAUUGUAGUCUGCAACUCGACUACAUGAAGCUGGAAUCGCUAGUAAUCGUAGAUCAGCAUGCUACGGUGAAUACGUUCCCGGGUCU
rnacentral:rRNA from 1 species